rnacentral:lncRNA from 1 species
AUUGAAGUCCACACCUAUCCCUUCGGAUGGUACCAGAAGCCCAUUGCUCAAAAUAAUGCUCCCAGUUUUUGCCCUUUGGUUGUUCUGCCUUCCCUCACAGAGAAAGGGAUCAUGAAGGUUUGCUGGGGGCCUGAAAGACUUUUCCUGCCUGAAAGGUUUCAGAAUGUCACGGUUUACCCCAGCCAGCCUGUGCAGGUGUGGAAACCGCCUCUUCUAUUUCCCAGCUAUUCCAUAUUCAGGAGCAAUCACUUGAUGAGUGCUGAGCAGCUGAAAGAAAUUCCUCUUGGUUUUGAUUGCGGGAAGAAGGGUGAGGAUCCUGAAGACUUUUGGAUGCCUUGGACUCACUGUUUAUUUUUGAUGAGUCCUAAGAAAGUCAUGUGAUCUUUUUAUACAAUAAAUGGGAUGGGUCUGUGAUUAUUUGAACGUUGGAGAGAGUGUCAGGCAUUUGCUGCCGGUUUGACAUUCUGCCCUUGGAUCUGAUACAAAAAUGCUUGGAGGCACUUUCCGCCUGUUUUUCAAAUGAGGGAGGCAAUGGCCAGAGCAGAAGCUCACCUGUCAUUACCUGCCAGCAAGCGGCAGACCUCUGCCUGUGGGGUGCAUGCAGCUCUAUAGUGAUGUGUAAUUUUUUGGGCAAUUUUUAAUGUAAAUUAUUUUACUUCUUCCAUGAUGAUUUAGUUGGACUGUCUUUAAACCAGUACAAAUAUUUCAUAAAUAAUAUCUGGCCACUUUCUAAGCGAUUAAUUUGUUGCUCAAUAAGCCGCCUCACAUCUUUCAGCAAGAAAUACAUUAAAUCUGAAUAGCAAAUACAUUACACAAUAAAUUCAGACACAAUUAAAAUUUGCUUUAAAUAUUUCUUUGGGGGAGAGGACAUCACACUUCUACUCAAUGAAGAGAAACAUUUUUACAGUCUGAUGUCUUAUAUUUUAUUUUAACAUCUACUAUGCCAUGAACUCAUAGGGAAUAGGUUCUAGCAGCUCUGGCCUUUCCCACUGGUUCUCACACAGUGCGCUUCUCUGCGUGGAGCAAGCUGGCGCUUCAGUUGAGCCCAGGUACCCUUCUCUUGGGCUUCUUUUUCUGAUCAUUUUCCUUCACGUGUUUCAGGAAGCUAUCUUGACUCCCAGAGUGCUUAAUGUGCUCAAUACCCACAUUAAUUCUCUUGUCAAGAAUCAUGCCCUUGUUCAUUUGCAACAAUGCCAGCAGUACACUGGGGAACAUUGUAAACGCUUCCAGUUUUGCCAUGGUAACACCUGUGGGUUAUACCUUUUUGAACAGUGCCCAUUCCCUUGAUGCCUACCAUAUCACCUUUCUUACAGAUUCACAUGUACCUGGCCAAACGAACAACUCCAUGUUUUCCAAAAGGCUUGGAGAACAUACCAGGUACCUCUCCUCUUUCCCUUUGUGUUUGUCAUUUUGGCGAAUUACUGGAAGAUGGUGGUUCCAGCUGAAAGGCUUUUUGGCAAUUUUUAACAGCUGAAAAUAAACCUUGAAAUAAACAUUUUCUCCUUUAACUGAUGUCUGGGAAGGAAG